AAGUCGAACGCUGAAGCUCCCAGCUUGCUGGGGGUGGAUGAGUGGCGAACGGGUGAGUAACACGUGAGUAACCUGCCCCGAACUCUGGGAUAAGCGCUGGAAACGGCGUCUAAUACUGGAUAUGUCCUAUCACCGCAUGGUGUGUAGGUGGAAAGAAUUUUGGUUCGGGAUGGACUCGCGGCCUAUCAGCUAGAUGGUGAGGUAAUGGCUCACCAUGGCGACGACGGGUAGCCGGCCUGAGAGGGUGACCGGCCACACUUGGGACUGAGACACGGCCCAGACUCCUACGGGAGGCAGCAGUGGGGAAUAUUGCACAAUGGGGCGCAAGCCUGAUGCAGCAACGCCGCGUGAGGGAUGACGGCCUUCGGGUUGUAAACCUCUUUUAGUAGGGAA
rnacentral:rRNA from 1 species